AGAACUGAGAAGGCAAAAGCAGGGAUUCCCACUGGCUGUGGUAAGAGCACUGCAGUGAGUCAGGAGGGCCCGGUCUGGGCGGCUCUGACUAAGAACACAGUCCCUAACAUCGUGGGGUGUCAAAUCUCCGCAGUCCAAAGGGGCCCUUCCGCCCCCUGGUUUGUGACUGCAAGUUUUGGCCUGAGAAUGACGGAGACACUCUAAGUCCGGAAAGGAAUUCCACUGCAACAGCCGCUCUCUGAGGCUGAAUCGAGGCCAAAUGACAUUUAAUGAGGCAGUGAUUCCUCACAGAGAUACAGGCUGGAAUGAAUGAGUUGCCUGCAUGUGCUGAAGUUUGUUUGGGAUAGAAAGAUGACUCAAGCUGAGCUCCCACCCUCAUGACAUCUGGUUAGGAAGCUGGGCCCUGGCCCUGAUCGUGUGGGAUAACCUCUUCAUUGAACUCGGGAUAAGGGCCCUGGGGCUCGCACCCUCUAAGCCCUCUCUCAAGAAGCUUUCCUUGGGACUUUCUGGCCUGAUCCCUGGUAGGGGAACUAGAAUCCAACGUGCUUCGGAGCAACUAAAUCUGAGUGCUGCAAAUAAAGAGUCCGUGAGGCGCCACAAAGAUUCUGCGUGCUGCCAUGAAGACCCGACUC
ensembl:lncRNA